AAAAUACAAGGCAUGCAAAUGACAAAAAUGAUGCAAAAUUUGCUCAUAAAAUUAAAAAUAACCGACUUCCUGUUGGGUUUCGGAUAUUGCUCCAAGAGUCUUUUUUGUAGGUACUGAUGCUUUACAUAUGUGUGCCAAUUUUCGUGCAUGUAUGUGAAACACAGCUCGAGGGCUGUUGAUUUUUUUACGAUAGGUGGCGCUGUCGAGCCAUUUUGCCACACCCUCUUCUGAAACCUAUAUCAGACGUAAAUUUUCACCAGGUCUGACGCGUGUGCAAAGUUUCAGGACUUUUCGAGCAUGUUUAGGCCCUCAAAAAUGCGAUUCAUUUUGGAGAAGAAGAAGAAGAAGAAGAAGAAGAAGAAGAAGAAGAAGAAGAAUAAACAAAGCAGAUACAAGAGGGUCCUCACACCAUCGGUGCUCGGGCCCUAAUAAACAAAGCAGAUACAAGAGGGUCCUCACACCAUCGGUGCUCGGGCCCUAAUUAAAGCUGCAAGCAGCGAUGAACGGGCCCUCGCACCCGGG
ensembl:lncRNA